rnacentral:misc_RNA from 1 species
GUGAAUCAUCGAAUUUUUGAACGCAAAUUGCACUUUCUUCGGAGAGUAUGCCUGCUUGAGGGUCAGCCUAUAAAAAAUCGACAUCGUCGCUGUUUCGCGGUGACAUUCGUCGGAAAUUGGGUCAUCUUAAACCUUUUGGUUUUAAGCGGCUUAAAAUUUUCUUUAUGAUUCUAUGAACGUUUCUAAGAUUUACUUAUAUGCUUAAGGUAUCGAUUUUUAUUAGUCGUGGCCGUUGC